rnacentral:rRNA from 1 species
UACGUAGGGUGCAAGCGUUUGUCCGGAAUUAUUGGGCGUAAAGAGCUCGUAGGCGGUUUGUCGCGUCGAAUGUGAAAACCCGGGGCUCAACCCCGGGCCUGCAUUCGAUACGGGCAGACUAGAGUUCGGUAGGGGAGUCUGGAAUUCCUGGUGUAGCGGUGAAAAUGCGCAGAUAUCAGGAAGAACACCCGUGGCGAAGGCGGCUCUCUGGGACGGUACUGACGCUGAGACGCGAAAGCGUGGGGAGCGAACAGGG